AAAGGCUGUCUAAGUAUAAGCAAUUAUACCGUGAAACUGCGAAUGGCUCAUUAAAUCAGUUAUCGUUUAUUUGAUAGUACCUUACUACUUGGAUAACCGUGGUAAUUCUAGAGCUAAUACAUGCUGAAAACCCCAACUUCGGGAGGGGUGUAUUUAUUAGAUAAAAAACCAACGCCCUUCGGGGCUUCUUGGUGAUUCAUGAUAACUUCACGGAUCGCAUGGCCUUGCGCCGGCGACGGUUCAUUCAAAUUUCUGCCCUAUCAACUUUCGAUGGUAAGGUAUUGGCUUACCAUGGUUUCAACGGGUAACGGGGAAUUAGGGUUCGAUUCCGGAGAGGGAGCCUGAGAAACGGCUACCACAUCCAAGGAAGGCAGCAGGCGCGCAAAUUACCCAAUCCCGACACGGGGAGGUAGUGACAAUAAAUACUGAUACAGGGCUCUUUUGGGUCUUGUAAUUGGAAUGAGUACAAUUUAAACCUCUUAACGAGGAACAAUUGGAGGGCAAGUCUGGUGCCAGCAGCCGCGGUAAUUCCAGCUCCAAUAGCGUAUAUUAAAGUUGUUGCAGUUAAAAAGCUCGUAGUUGAAACUUGGGCCUGGCUGGCAGGUCCGCCUCACCGCGUGUACUUGUCCGGCCGGGCCUUUCCUUCUGGAGAACCUCAUGCCCUUCACUGGGUGUGUUGGGGAACCAGGACUUUUACUUUGAAAAAAUUAGAGUGUUCAAAGCAGGCCUUUGCUCGAAUACGUUAGCAUGGAAUAAUAGAAUAGGACGUGCGGUCCUAUUUUGUUGGUUUCUAGGACCGCCGUAAUGAUUAAUAGGGACAGUCGGGGGCAUCAGUAUUCAAUUGUCAGAGGUGAAAUUCUUGGAUUUAUUGAAGACUAACUACUGCGAAAGCAUUUGCCAAGGAUGUUUUCAUUAAUCAGUGAACGAAAGUUAGGGGAUCGAAGACGAUCAGAUACCGUCGUAGUCUUAACCGUAAACUAUGCCGACUAGGGAUCGGGCGAUGUUCUUUUUCUGACUCCCUCGGCCUUACAAGAAAUCAAGUUUUUGGGUUCUGGGGGGAAUAUGGUCCCAAGGCUGAAACUUAAAAAAUUGACGGAAGGGACCACAAGGCAUGAACCUUGGCGUUAUUUGAUUUAACCGGGGAAACCCCCGGGCCCGAUGAAUAAGGAUUGCCAAUGGAAAUUUUUUUUUUUUUUUGGGGGGGGGGGGGGGGAUAAAUAUGGCGAAAAAUUUUUUGUGUUUAUUAAAAAAAAAACAAAA
rnacentral:rRNA from 1 species